rnacentral:rRNA from 1 species
AGCGAACGCUGGCGGCAGGCUUAACACAUGCAAGUCGAGCGGGCCCUUCGGGGUCAGCGGCAGACGGGUGAGUAACGCGUGGGAACGUGCCCUUCGGUUCGGAAUAACUCAGGGAAGCUUGAGCUAAUACCGGAUACGCCCUUAUGGGGAAAGGCUUGCUGCCGAAGGAUCGGCCCGCGUCUGAUUAGCUAGUUGGUGAGGUUAUGGCUCACCAAGGCGACGAUCAGUAGCUGGUCUGAGAGGAUGAUCAGCCACACUGGGACUGAGACACGGCCCAGACUCCUACGGGAGGCAGCAGUGGGGAAUAUUGGACAAUGGGGGCAACCCUGAUCCAGCCAUGCCGCGUGAGUGAUGACGGCCUUAGGGUUGUAAAGCUCUUUUCUCCGGGACGAUAAUGACGGUACCGGAGGAAUAAGCCCCGGCUAACUUCGUG